AAGCUUGGUGAUGUUUUCUUUGGCCACUUUAAAGAUGGAUGGCGCCAUGGCCGUUUUCUUUGUAUCAACAUUGACGGGACGAGGAGUACUGAAGUAUGGGAUGAAGGCCUUCUACAAAGCCGGAAGAAUUUGGAUUCUGACACCGGAACAGGAUAGAGUCUGUCUGGCAUAAUUUUAAAAUGCUAUCCUUCAGCCGUUCUGGUGCGUCCGCGAGAAACAAAUGCAGAAGAAUAUCAACUGAGGGCUGAUGUCUGUAAGAAGAGUUUUCUUCAACCAGCUCCACUGCUCGUAGCGCCUAUGCUUUAGUAGUAGCAGCACUCAAUUUUAAUAACACUACUGUUGUAUGAACAUCCUUUAAGCAUUUGUUUGUUCUUUAUCUGUACUGGUGGAAUCGAAAUUGAAUCUCCAAUUGUACACAUAUGUUGUAUAUUCUGUAUAUAGUAAUUUAAGUUUUUUUCUUUUCUUUUGAA